ACGCUCGACACCUACGGGAGGGCAGCAGUGGGGAAUAUUGCACAAUGGGGGAAACCCUGAUGCAGCGACGCCGCGUGAAGGAAGAAGUAUCUCGGUAUGUAAACUUCUAUCAGCAGGGAAGAAAGUGACGGUACCUGACUAAGAAGCCCCGGCUAACUACGUGCCAACAGCCGCGGUAAUCUGAGCGGGCUGGCAAGGC
rnacentral:rRNA from 1 species